CGGGCCCGUAGCUCAGCCAGGUAGAGCGGCGGCUCCAACCCGUAGGUCGGGGGUUCGAAUCCCCCCGGGCCC
rnacentral:tRNA from 1 species